GACGUAGGAGGCGAGCGUUGUCCGGAUUCAUUGGGCGUAAAGAGCACGCAGGCGGUUUGGCAAGUCGGAUGUGAAAACCCGAAGCUCAACUUCGGGCCUGCAUCCGAAACUGCCCGACUAGAGGUAGGUAGGGGAGAUCGGAAUUCCUGGUGUAGCGGUGAAAUGCGCAGAUAUCAGGAGGAACACCAGUGGCGAAGGCGGGUCUCUGGACAGUUCCUGACACUGAGGCACGAAGGCCAGGGGAGCAAACGGG
rnacentral:rRNA from 1 species